rnacentral:rRNA from 1 species
GACGAACGCUGGCGGCGUGCUUAACACAUGCAAGUCGAACGGAAAGGCCCUGCUUGCAGGGUACUCGAGUGGCGAACGGGUGAGUAACACGUGGGUGAUCUGCCCUGCACUUCGGGAUAAGCCUGGGAAACUGGGUCUAAUACCGGAUAGGAGCCAUUUUUAGUGUGAUGGUUGGAAAGUUUUUUCGGUGUAGGAUGAGCUCGCGGCCUAUCAGCUUGUUGGUGGGGUAAUGGCCUACCAAGGCGGCGACGGGUAGCCGGCCUGAGAGGGUGGACGGCCACAUUGGGACUGAGAGACGGCCCAGACUCCGACGGGAGGCAGAAGGGGGGAAUAUUGAACGAUGGGCGCCAGCCUGAUGCAGCGGCGCCGCGUGGGGGAUGACGGCCUUCGGGUUGUAAACUCCUUUCGCUAGGGACGAAGCUUUUUGUGACGGUACCUAGAUAAGAAGCACCGGCUAACUACGUG